GUCGAACGGCAGCACGGGAGCUUGCUCCUGGUGGCGAGUGGCGAACGGGUGAGUAAUACAUCGGAACGUACCCAGGAGUGGGGGAUAACGUAGCGAAAGUUACGCUAAUACCGCAUAUUCUGUGAGCAGGAAAGCGGGGGAUCGCAAGACCUCGCGCUCUUGGAGCGGCCGAUGUCGGAUUAGCUAGUUGGUGAGGUAAGAGCUCACCAAGGCGACGAUCCGUAGCAGGUCUGAGAGGAUGAUCUGCCACACUGGGACUGAGACACGGCCCAGACUCCUACGGGAGGCAGCAGUGGGGAAUUUUGGACAAUGGGGGCAACCCUGAUCCAGCCAUGCCGCGUGAGUGAAGAAGGCCUUCGGGUUGUAAAGCUCUUUCGGCGGGGAAGAAAUGGCAACGGCUAAUAUCUGUUGUUGAUGACGGUACCCGCAUAAGAAGCACCGGCUAACUACGUGCCAGCAGCCGCGGUAAUACGUAGGGUGCGAGCGUUAAUCGGAAUUACUGGGCGUAAAGCGUGCGCAGGCGGUUUCGUAAGACAGACGUGAAAUCCCCGGGCUCAACCUGGGAACUGCGUUUGUGACUGCGAGGCUAGAGUACGGCAGAGGGGGGUAGAAUUCCACGUGUAGCAGUGAAAUGCGUAGAGAUGUGGAGGAAUACCGAUGGCGAAGGCAGCCCCCUGGGUUAGUACUGACGCUCAUGCACGAA
rnacentral:rRNA from 1 species